AUGAAGAUGAAAAUCUGCCUUAUACUUGCCGCCCUCGCCAUUCUUGCUAUUGACUAUGUCCCUCAAAACCCCCAAAGGAAAACAUUUCGCUUUGAACUGGGUCUUAUCUUUUUUAGACACUCUGCUUAUGACAAAGAGGAGGAGCAGGAGCAGGAACAGGAGCAGGAACAGGAACAGGAGCAGCAACAGGAGCAGGAACAGGAACAGGAACAGGAACAGCAACAGGAGCAGGAACAGGAACAGGAGGAACAGGAACAGGAGCAGGAUUAGGAACAGGAGGAACAGGAGCAGGAACAGGAGCAGGAACAGGAGCAGGAACAGCAACAGGAACAGGAACAGGAGCAGCAACAGGAGCAGGAACAGGAACAGGAACAGGAACAGCAACAGGAGCAGGAACAGGAACAGGAGGAACAGGAACAGGAGCAGGAUUAGGAACAGGAGGAACAGGAGCAGGAACAGGAGCAGGAACAGGAGCAGGAACAGCAAGAGGAACAGGAACAGGAGCAGGAACAGGAACAGGAACAGGAACAGGAGCAGGAACAGGAGCAGGAGCAGCAACAGGAGCAGGAACAGGAGCAGGAACAGGAACAGGAACAGGAACAGGAACAGGAACAGGAGCAGGAGCAGCAACAGGAGCAGGAACAGGAGCAGGAACAGGAGCAGGAGGAACAGGAACAGGAGCAGGAACAGGAGCAGGAACAGGAGCAGGAACAGGAACAGGAGGAACAGGAACAGGAGCAGGAACAGGAGGAACAGGAACAGGAGCAGGAACAGGAACAGGAACAGGAACAGGAGCGGCAACAGGAACAGGAACAGGAACAGGAGCAGGAACAGGAGGAACAGGAACAGGAGCAGGAACAGGAACAGGAACAGGAACAGGAGCGGCAACAGGAACAGGAACAGGAACAGGAGCAGGAACAGGAGGAACAGGAACAGGAGCAGGAACAGGAACAGGAACAGGAGCAGCAACAGGAGCAGGAACAGGGACAGGAGGAACAGGAACAGGAGCAGGAACAGGAGGAACAGGAGCAGGAACAGGAACAGGAGCAGGAACAGGAGGAACAGGAGCAGGAACAGGAACAGGAGCAGGAACAGGAGGAACAGGAGCAGCAGGAACAGGAGCAGGAACAGGAACGGGAACAGGAUCAAGCUAAAGACGUACCUCGGAACAUGUGA